rnacentral:rRNA from 1 species
AGGGGCAGCAUGGUCUUAGCUUGCUAAGACUGAUGGCGACCGGCGCACGGGUGAGUAACACGUAUCCAACCUGCCGUCUACUCUUGGACAGCCUUCUGAAAGGAAGAUUAAUACAAGAUGGCAUCAUGAGUCCACAUGUUCACAUGAUUAAAGGUAUUCCGGUAGACGAUGGGGAUGCGUUCCAUUAGAUAGUAGGCGGGGUAACGGCCCACCUAGUCUUCGAUGGAUAGGGGUUCUGAGAGGAAGGUCCCCCACAUUGGAACUGAGACACGGUCCAAACUCCUACGGGAGGCAGCAGUGAGGAAUAUUGGUCAAUGGGCGAGAGCCUGAACCAGCCAAGUAGCGUGAAGGAUGACUGCCCUAUGGGUUGUAAACUUCUUUUAUAAAGGAAUAAAGUCGGGUAUGCAUACCCGUUUGCAUGUACUUUAUGAAUAAGGAUCGGCUAACUCCGUGCCAGCAGCCGCGGUAAUACGGAGGAUCCGAGCGUUAUCCGGAUUUAUUGGGUUUAAAGGGAGCGUAGAUGGAUGUUUAAGUCAGUUGUGAAAGUUUGCGGCUCAACCGUAAAAUUGCAGUUGAUACUGGAUAUCUUGAGUGCAGUUGAGGCAGGCGGAAUUCGUGGUGUAGCGGUGAAAUGCUUAGAUAUCACGAAGAACUCCGAUUGCGAAGGCAGCCUGCUAAGCUGCAACUGACAUUG